GACGAACGCUGGCGGCGUGCUUAACACAUGCAAGUCGAACGGAAAGGCCCUGCUUUUGUGGGGUGCUCGAGUGGCGAACGGGUGAGUAACACGUGAGUAACCUGCCCUUGACUUUGGGAUAACUUCAGGAAACUGGGGCUAAUACCGGAUAGGAGCUCCUGCUGCAUGGUGGGGGUUGGAAAGUUUCGGCGGUUGGGGAUGGACUCGCGGCUUAUCAGCUUGUUGGUGGGGUAGUGGCUUACCAAGGCUUUGACGGGUAGCCGGCCUGAGAGGGUGACCGGCCACAUUGGGACUGAGAUACGUCCCAAUCUCCUACGGUAGGCAGCAGUGGGGAAUAUUGCACAAUGGGCGGAAGCCAGAUGCAGCAACGCCGCGUGCGGGAUGACGGCCUUCGGGUUGUAAACCGCUUUCGCCUGUGACGAAGCGUGAGUGACGGUAAUGGGUAAAGAAGCACCGGCUAACUACGUG
rnacentral:rRNA from 1 species